rnacentral:rRNA from 1 species
UACGGGGGGGGUAAGCGUUGUUCGGAAUUACUGGGCGUAAAGGGCUCGUAGGCGGCCAACUAAGUCAUACGUGAAAUCCCUCAGCUUAACUGGGGAACUGCGUGUGAUACUGGAUGGCUUGGAUUUGGGAGAGGGAUGCGGAAUUCCAGGUGUAGCGGUGAAAUGCGUAGAUAUCUGGAGGAACACCGGUGGCGAAGGCGGCAUCCUGGACCAAUAUUGACGCUGAGGAGCGAAAGUGUGGGGAGCGAACAGG